CAAAGGAAAUCUAGCUACCUUAAUCCAGAUGGUUUCUCUUUAAAGAUUUUUCAACAAGACUUUUAGCUAGGUAUCAAGCAGCCGACCACUCAAACUUGUACAACCUGAUCAGCAAUUAGACUCUGUUGCAAGUUAUGUGACAAUUCUUUCUAGAAUCUGCUUUAGCAAGUGAGAAAACCCAAAUAAAAAUCUUACAAUGGCAUGUGACAAAGAAUUUGAAUUUUCAGUGGAGACUGUGA
rnacentral:lncRNA from 1 species